UGAUCAUUAGCUCAAUGGAUAGAGCAGCUCACUUCUAAUGAGCAGGCUGCAGGUUCGAGUCCUGCAUGGUCAGCAA
rnacentral:tRNA from 1 species